rnacentral:rRNA from 1 species
UACGGGGGGAGCAAGCGUUGUUCGGAUUUACUGGGCGUAAAGGGCGCGUAGGCGGCCAGCGCAAGUCACCUGUGAAAUCUCCGGGCUUAACUCGGAGCCUGCAGGCGAAACUGUGGUGCUGGAGUGUGGGAGAGGUGCGUGGAAUUCCCGGUGUAGCGGUGAAAUGCGCAGAUAUCAGGAAGAACACCCGUGGCGAAGGCGGCUCUCUGGAACGCAACUGACGCUGAGACGCGAAAGCGUGGGGAGCAAACAGG